UACCUGGUUGAUCCUGCCAGUCAUGAUAUGCUUGUUUUAAAGACUAAGCCAUGCAAGUCUAAGUAUAAGCUUACAAAAGUGAAACCGCGAAUGGCUCAAUAAAUCAAUUAUUAUUUACAGGCCGAGACUGGUAUACAUGGAUAACUGUGGUAAUUCUAGAGCUAAUACUUGCAACCGAGCUUCAGUCCGUUUCUAGUAUUCGGCGGAGCGCUUUUAUUAGCCUAAAAACCAAUUGUCGUUGUCCGCCAGUUAACUCUGAUCGGCAGCGAUUCAAUAACGUGUUGAAUCACAAUAACAGUGUGUGGAUCGUACGGUCAAGUACCGACGACGCGCCUUAUAAGUGCUUGUCCAAUCAGCUGUCGACGGUUUGCUAAAGGCUGACCGUGGCAGUGACAAGUAACGGGGAAUCUGAGUUCGAUUCCGGAGAGGGAGCCUGAGAGAUGGCUACCACACCUAAGGGUGGCAGCAGGCGCGUAAAUUACCCAAUCCCGGAACGGGGAGGUAGUAAAGAUAAAUACCUUACAGGGGAUCUGUUUACCAGAUCCCCUUAAACGGAAUGAGUGAAACAUGAAUCCUUUGACGAGGAUCUAUUGGAGGGCAAGUCUGGUGCCAGCAGCCGCGGUAAUUCCAGCUCCAAUAGCGUAUAUUAAAGCUGUUGCGGUUAAAAAGCUCGUAGUUGGAUAUCAGUGUGCGAGCUGGGCUGGUAUGUUCGGUAGUGUGUCUUUGACGGAUGCCGUGAGGAUUUUGUUGACUGUCGCUCUUGCUUUGCAUGUUGCGUUCAGAAUGCUUGUCUUGCGUCCAUACGGCAAAGCGUGCACCGGACACUAAAUAUCAGCACGGCUACACUGUAUAUAUGUGUUGUCAUGUGGAUUGGUCGUUUUUACAACGAAAGGGCUGAUCAGCAGACAGCGGCGUUACCUUGAUCAAAUUAGAGUGCUCAAGGCAGGUUAUAGAAAUAUAGCCUGAAUAUUCAAUUCAUAGGAAUUGGAGAAAAUGUCCCUGACUCAGGUUGGUUGGUGGUAUGAGUCGAUGGGAAAUGAUUAAAAGGGACUGACGGAGGCAUUUGUAUUACGGCGAUAGGGGUGAAAUCCGUUGACCGUCGUAAGACAAACUACUGCGAAAGCAUUUGCCGAGAAUGUUUUCAUUAGUCAAGAACGAAAGUUAGAGGGUCGAAGGCGAUCAGAUACCGCCCUAGUUCUAACCGUAAACAAUGUCGACCAGCAAUCCGCACAGUCGUGAUUUAUAGACUGUGCGGGCAGCUCCUCCGGGGAAACCAGAGUUUCUGGACUCCGGGGGGAGUAUGGUUGCAAGAUUGAAACUUAAAGGAAUUGACGGAAGGGCACCACCAGGAGUGGAGCUUGCGGCUUAAUUUGACUCAACACGGGACAACUUACCAGGCCCAGACACUAUAAGGAUUGACAGAUUGAUGGCUCUCUCUUGAUUUUGUGGGUAGUGGUGCAUGGCCGUUCUUAGUUGGUGGAGUGAUUUGUCUGCUUAAUUGCGAUAACGAACGAGACUCUAGCCUACUAAAGUUGACAUUGUAGAUGGUGUUUGCUUCGUGGUUUUGGUUCGCAGUUGUUUGAGAGUACGUUGAUUCGUUCAAUGUGCUUAAUUCUGCUGUUCGCCUGGCUGCGUGGCUGCAUUGUUCGUUGGUAUGUUUAGUCAUACUGCAAUGUGCUUCUUAGUCGGAUAAUCGGUAACAAAAAAGCCGAAAGAAAGAGAGCCAUAACAGGUCUGUGAUGCCCUUAGAUGUUCUGGGCUGCCCGCGUGUUACACUGAAUUGUACAGCGCGUGGUAUCUAACGUCCUGCUCUGAAAAGAGUGGGUAAACGUUUUAAACCAAUUCGUGAUUGGAAUUGGAGGUUGGAAUUGUCCUCCAUGAACGAGGAAUUCCUAGUAGUCGCAAGUCACUAACUUGCGUCGAUUAAGUCCCUGCCCUUUGUACACACCGCCCGUCGCUACUACCGAUGGAUAAUUUGGUGAGAUCGCCCAGACUGGUCGUCGGCUUCGGCUUGACGACGG
rnacentral:rRNA from 1 species